rnacentral:rRNA from 1 species
GGCAAGGGUUGCCUCAGUAGCGGCGAGUGAAGCGGCAAGAGCUCAGAUUUGAAAUCUCACCUAGUGUGCGAGUUGUAAAUUGCAGGUUGGAGUCUCGGGUUAGACGUGUGUGCAAGUCCCUUGGAACAGGGUGCCACUGAGGGUGAGAGCCCCGUAUCGUGCAUGUCGACACCUGUGAGGCCCUUCUGACGAGUCGAGUUGUUUGGGAAUGCAGCUCUAAGUGGGUGGUAAAUUCCAUCUAAGGCUAAAUAUUGGCGAGAGACCGAUAGCGAACAAGUACUGUGAAGGAAAGAUGAAAAGCACUUUGAAAAGAGAGUGAAACAGCACGUGAAAUUGUUGAAAGGGAAGGGUAUUGGGCUCGACAUGGGAUUUACGCAUCGUUGCCUCUCGUGGGCGGCGCUCUGGGUUUUUCCUGGGCCAGCAUCGGUUUUCGUUGCAGGAUAAGGACAAUUGGAAUGUGGCUCCUCGGAGUGUUAUAGCCUUUUGUAGAUGCUGCGUAUGGGGACCGAGGGCUGCGGCGGACUCGUUUCGUCUCGGAUGCUGGCACAACGGCGCAAUACCGCCCGUCUUGAAACACGGACCAAC